rnacentral:rRNA from 1 species
CCUACGGGAGGCAGCAGUGAGGAAUAUUGGUCAAUGGACGCAAGUCUGAACCAGCCAUGCCGCGUGCAGGAAGACGGCUCUAUGAGUUGUAAACUGCUUUUGUACGAGGGUAAACGCAGAUACGCGUAUCUGUCUGAAAGUAUCGUACGAAUAAGGAUCGGCUAACUCCGUGCCAGCAGCCGCGGUAAUACGGAGGAUUCAAGCGUUAUCCGGAUUUAUUGGGUUUAAAGGGUGCGUAGGCGGUCGGAUAAGUUAGAGGUGAAAUCCCGAGGCUCAACUUCGGAAUUGCCUCUGAUCAUGUUCGACUAGAGAGUAGUAGCGGUAGGCGGAAUGUAUGGUGUAGCGGUGAAAUGCUUAGAGAUCAUACAGAACACCGAUUGCGAAGGCAGCUUACCAAGCUACUUCUGACGUUGAGGCACGAAAGCGUGGGGAGCAAACAGGAUUAGAUACCCGAGUAGUC